rnacentral:rRNA from 1 species
AUUGAACGCUGGCGGCAUGCUUUACACAUGCAAGUCGAGCGGCAGCGCGGGGCAACCUGGCGGCGAGCGGCGAACGGGUGAGGAAUACAUCGGAACGUACCCGAGAGUGGGGGAUAACGCCGCGAAAGCGGCGCUAAUACCGCAUAUUCUCUAUGGAGGAAAGUGGGGGACCCGCGAGGGCCUCACGCUCACGGAGCGGCCGAUGUCCGAUUAGCUAGUUGGUGGGGUAAAGGCUUACCAAGGCGACGAUCGGUAGCUGGUCUGAGAGGAUGAUCAGCCAAACGGGGACGAAGACACGGCCCAGACUCCUACGGGAGGCAGCAGUGGGGAAUUUUGGACAAUGGGGGCAACCCUGGUCCAGCCAUGCCGCGUGCGGGAAGAAGGCCUUCGGGUUGUAAACCGCUUUAGCCGGGAAGAAAAGGCGCAGGUGAAUAGCCUGCGUUCUUGACGGUACCGGCGGAAUAAGCACCGGCUAACUACGUGCCAGCCGCCGCCGUAAAAC